UAGAUGGUGACUCUCCCCCAAGUCUUGGU
rnacentral:piRNA from 1 species